CUUAACACAUGCAAGUCGAGGGGCAGCAGGAGCAAAGCUUGCUUUGCUUGCUGGCGACCGGCGCACGGGUGCGUAACGCGUAUCGAACCUGCCCUAUACUCGGGGAUAGCCUUGCGAAAGUAAGAUUAAUACCCGAUGUUGUUAUUCCAUCGCAUGAUGUUUUAACCAAAGAUUUAUCGGUAUAGGAUGGCGAUGCGUGACAUUAGCUGGAUGGCGGGGUAACGGCCCACCAUGGCAACGAUGUCUAGGGGUUCUGAGAGGAAGGUCCCCCACACUGGAACUGAGACACGGUCCAGACUCCUACGGGAGGCAGCAGUGAGGAAUAUUGGUCAAUGGUCUGACGACUGAACCAGCCAUGCCGCGUGAAGGUCACGGCCCUAUGGGUCUUAAACUUCUUUUGUAAGGGAGCAAUAAGUCUCACGUGUGGGAUGAUGAGAGUACCUUACGAAUAAGCAUCGGCUAACUCCGUG
rnacentral:rRNA from 1 species